GGCGGAAUAGCUCAGCUGGCUAGAGCAUUCGGUUCAUACCCGAGGUGUCACUGGUUCAAAUCCAGUUGCCGCUACCA
rnacentral:tRNA from 1 species